UAUUUUUCGGGGCCUCCUGUUUGGGGAGAUUUCUUUAGCUGCAGGAUUGCAAGUUUUUUUUUCCCCGAGUAUUUUUUUUCUGUCUGAAUAUAACGAUAGAGGGAGACAAACACACCCAGCGCCGACAAGCCCCAUCGUGACACCUAGAGGCGGCACAAAGGACCUGCAUUUGGCCCCUCUAACCGUUCUAACUUACGUUUUCACCGUCUUUUCUUGCAAGAAAACUCCCUUUCGGUGUCUCCCGGUGCCCGCGUGAGGCGCCCGGCUGCCCGAAACACCCUGAAAGCGCGGCACCAAUCGGUUAAAACGUUCCCAUUAGAGCAGAGAAGAGAAAAUGGCGGCACCCUCUCUGACUGCGCAUGCUCGGCAGCGCCACAACUGUGGGGACGUGCGCAGGGCACUGUGGGUAGAGGACUGAAAACGCGCGAACCUCUCUCUUUCAAAAAGAAACGGUUUAAACAGUUGCUGAAGGAAGCAAGGGCGCGGCGACCGGGCUAAGAGUUACCUCACCCGGAGGUGACGUCUAUAGGGAACAACAUGGCGCCUCCUUUGGCAUGAUUCAGCGAUUACAAGGCCGAGUGGUUUCCUGAAUGUUUCUGUUUGUACUUGUUGCUAUAUACCUGUCAGACCAUCAUCUCAUGCUAGCAUAUGUAAGCUAACUUAAUGUAUAGAUGAGAUACAUUGGAUUUCUGCAAUUAAAGACAUCAGAAUAAGUGCAAAAAAGUUAUUGGCCUUUUUGGGCAGGACUGUUGAGUCUACCCAAAGCAUUGAGUUGUCAAACCUUUCCAGAGAUUUUAUCACUUGACCUUUGAAGGGAUAAUUCCCCCCCCCCCCCCACGCAGAAGGUGGUGUGUAUGGAACAAGCUGCCAGAGGAAGUGGUGGAGUUUGUAUUACCAACCAUUUGUGGGCCUUCAGGACAGAGAACAGGAUGGAUGCUUGAAUCCUCCUACACAAGGAUCAUGAUCCUCUUCAACCAUUCCAUUGCACAAUGUUGGAAGUCCUUCAAUGAAAGCCUGGAGCUACCUGCAAAACUAACAUUGGUCUGCUCAAGAAGAAAAUCUUCUGUAGCCUUGGCAAAGAGCAUCCAGCAUACUCAAGCAUUUGGCAGCAAGUUUCUUUAAACAUUGUGCAAAGGAAAAUAUGACCCUGCACUUGGUCGUGAAGCAGCACUUGAGCUUCCUGCCUCCAAGAAGCAAGACAUGCAGAAUUUUAGCACUGACAGUGGAAAAAACAGACACAGUGGAAGAAACAGAAUUCAGCAUGAACAUUGAAUUGCUCAGAUUCACAGAAAUGUUAUGGCACACAAAGAGGCUAUUCAGCCCAUUGUGCCUAAAAUGGCACUAUGAAAUGGAUUUGAACAGCCGAUUUGGACCAAGUACCAGUUUCUUCGAAGAAAAUGUUUCAUUAACCAAAAGUAUAGACCAUUGAGGAUGUUGGACUGGACACCUCUGUAUUUCAUACAUUGCCAAUUACAAUUCAAAAAUAUUACAAGGACCUAUUACCUCCUGAAAAAAACCUGAAGACAAGCCAAAAAUAACCAGCCAAACAUCCUGGAUGGAAUAUUCCCUAAUCUACAACCAUGGUAGAGACAAAUUAUCUGAAACUUCAACUAUUUCUUUUAAUUGUGUGACACAAUGUUGUCACUUUACAAAUUGCUCAUAUAUCAUAUCCCAAAACUUAAAUCAUGUUCUUUAAUCUAAUUCAAUUAUUUUACCAGAUUCUGUACAUGUAUGCAUUGUAAGUAGUAAACUGAGUUAUAUGCUGGAGGCUGCAGAAGCAGAUUGAUAUCCCAGAAAGUCAUUUAUUUUAAAAUUGCAUUUUUGUUUUAAAAUUCAUUAUAGGAGCAUGCAAUACUGAGAACUGGAUCAGGUAUGCAGAUAAUUCUUUCUGUUGCAUUUAAAGCUGCCCAUUAAACAACCUGAUAUACUUCUACAGUAAUUCAGCAUUUAGUGAUAGCAGCAAAUGACUUUUGUGGAAUUUUCAUUUAUAGUCAUUUUCAGAGGAGUUGAGUCAGUAUUGUCAUGGCUUUAAGGGGGACUUAGAAAGGAAAUGUCAAACAAUUACUUAAGUGGCAGGCACAUUGUUCGAAUCCAAUCCUGAGGUCUCAGAUUUAACCAGCACUUAGAUAGGCAUGGACUAGUCAGGGAUACUGAACAUGGUAUUAUGAAGGGAAGGUCAUGCCUUACAAAUUUGAAUUCUUUGAGAAAGUGGCAAGGAAGAUCAAUGAUGGUACUGCAGUGGAUGUUCUCUGCACAAAUUUUAGUAAGGCAUUUGAUAGGGUCCCACAUGGCAGACUGGUCAGAAAAGUAAAAGUCUAGGGAUAUAAGGUGAAGUGUCAAAAUGGAUCCAAAGCUGGCUUAGUAAUAGGAAACAGAAGGGUAAUGGCUGAUGGCUGCCCAUGCAAAUGGAAAGUUGUUUCAAGGAGUGUUUUGAAGGGCUCAGUUUUGGGAACCGUGCUGUUUGUUUUAUACAUUAAUGAUUUGGACCUGAAGAUGGUGGGCAUUACUGGGAAAUCUGCAGGCGACACAAAAAUUGACCAUGUAGUGGAUAGUUGUUAGCUCCGAAAUGAUAUCGAUGGGUUGGUGGAGGGGUCACUAAAGUGGUAGAUGGACUUCUGCUCCUCUUAGUAUGAGGUAAUGCAUUUAGAGAGGUCAACCAGUAAAUGGGAACUAAGCGGAAAGAUGCUGAGCCAAGUAACUGAAGUGAGUGGUCUUGAUGUGCAAGCACACAGGUGCCUAAAGGCGAAUAAGGUUGUAAAGAAGGCACAUGGAAUGCUGUCUUUCAUUGGCAGAGGAACAGAAAACAAAAACAGGGAUAUGUUGAUGAAACUGUAUAAUACACUGAUGAGGACACAACUGGAGUAUUAUGCGCAGUUCCGGUCACCACAUUACUGGAAGGAUGUAAUUGCUCUGGAGACAGUACAGAGGUGAUUUACUGGAACGCUGCCAAGGUUAGCAAGUUGUAGCUGCAAGGAGAGAUUAGAUUGCUUUCCUUGGAACAGAGAAGGUCGAAGGAUGACAUGAUUGAGGCAUACCAAAUUGUGAAGAGCAGACAGGAGAAACCCGGUUCCCUUGGCACAGAGUUCAACAAUAGGACACACACAUUCAGGCUAAUUAGAAGGAUGAGAGGACACACAGGGGGAUGGCGCAUGUACGGAAUUCACUGUCUGAAUUGGUGAUGGAGGCAGAGACACUAAACUCUUUUAAAAAGUAUCUGGAUCUGAACCUUACUGCUGUAAGCUGUAGGACUAUGAGCCGUGUGCAGGAAGUUGGGAUUAGAAAGGGCAUUUGGACAAGAUGAGCUGAAUGGCUCAUGUUUUGUGCCAUUUCUACAGUUCUGUGGGAGUGAGAGUUUCUAUUUUGACUGAAAUGGAACUGAAAUGCUCACCUUUAGAUGUGCUAGUGCUGUGCAUCCAACUUUUCUCAGCUGUUCAUCCUCAUCCUCAAGCAGUUCCAAGUAACAAACCAGAGCCUGAAAACAAAUGCACAUGAUUAGUCCAUCACAUAAAAUAAAUUGUCUACCAGCCUUCAGAAGUUAUCUGCUUAAAGAUUAAUGCUGAUAGAAUGUAAAUCCAGAUAUUUUAAACACAGACAACCAGUUUUCAUGUCAAUGAUGAAAUGCUAACAAGAAUCCAGCGCUGUAAACUCAUGCAUCUCUGCCCUUUGGUGGAGGACCCACAAUACUUAAGAUAUCUUUUGUGACAAUGCUAUUAAGCCACCAGAGUCUUUUAUUCCAUCCUGAUGUCUGGCUGGACUCAAAAGAGAUUUAGGUUAAAUAACAUUACAACCACAACAGGACUUUAGGAACAGUGGUAGGCUAAUCAACUCUUCGACAAUGAAUCAGAAUUUCAUUAGAUUAUGCUUUUUCCGUACUGCAAUUCAAUUUAAUGGCCUUUGCUCCAUACCCUGUGAUACCUUUAUAUCACAAAUAACAAUUAAUUUCAAGUCUUCAAAGUCAAUUUGAUGCAACAACCAGACUACUGAAAUGUUUCAUGAUUUCAAUCCAAAAUGGCUGAGUGCUAUUUUAAGAUUAUGGCCUAUUGUUCUUGAUUGCUCCAAUAGAGAAAAUAGUUUCGCAUACACAAAACAAAUCCUUUGCAGCAUUUAAAAUAUUAAAUCAGAUCACAAUACAUUUUCUAUAUUCAAGGGAAUACAGUGUUACUGUCGAUGAAACCACUCUGCAAUUGUAUUGCUGUAGUACCGCUGACAGACUCACUUGCUCAGGGACAAUGCACUCUCACUACUGGCAACCUAACCUACUCAGGUACAAGACACCAGCUCCGACAUCAGCCUUGCCAGCUCACUAUCAAUACUGGCCCUCAUAUUAAUGACAUUAUGCUCCAAAGUUGAUAAUAAAAGACAAUGUAAAAUCAAACUAUUCCUAAUUUAUGAGCUUUUAAGCUUCAGGCUCUUAGCUUCUCUUUGCAGACACCAAAGUUAUUGGACCAAAUUGGCCAGGUUAGCUGAGAGCGAAGCAAUUGCAUUUACAGACUUACUACCAACCUUCUCUCUGAAUUUGGAAUCUUCUGACAGGUUUUUCAGCACAGAGGCAGCAGUGUUGCAGAUCUUGGUGUUGUCCUCCAACAAAAGCAAACCAACAGCUUUUAGACCAUCUUUCUGGAGCUGGGUCCCUGAGAGAUAUUUCAGAUUCUUCAAUACCACAUCCCUAUCAGAGGAUUGUAGAUUCUGAACCAAGAAUACUGCAAGGAAUAGGGAGUGCAGGGGUGGGGAGAAAAAAAGACAUCACAAAAUAGUC